AUGUCUUUGGAUGCUCAGCGUAGCUGGAUGUAUAGUGGGUGGAAGGAUACAAACACUUAUGUAUAUGCUAUUGUUAUGUUUUAUCAUGAUUGUCUAGUUGAUUAUAAACUGUUCUUUGCUAUCUUUAUCUUAUUUUUUUCAAGAAUCACACGUUACAAGAUGACAAUUGGAAGAAAAGCAUCUCGACUUGCUGUAGCCAUCAAACUAGCGCCUGUUGCUCGGAACACUACUGCUGCUGAUGGCACUUACGAUGGGUAUGUAAGAGGAGUUUCAGAUCUUCCUCCUGCUAUUCCAAAUAAUGAAGACCGUCCAAUCAUUCGACCCUUUGGCAAGACGCAUUGGAAGGACAUUCUCGUUGUUCGAAAGGGCAGGCGACCAGCAAGUGUAUUAACAUGCCUUUUGAAAAGUAACCAUCCAGGUAUUCUGGAUUAUGAUGGUGUGAAGGUGAUUGCAACGGAGUGGGAGCAUUAA
rnacentral:rRNA from 1 species